AGUGAACGCUGGCGGUAGGCCUAACACAUGCAAGUCGAACGGCAGCACAGUAAGGGCUUGCUCUUACGGGUGGCGAGUGGCGGACGAGUGAGGAAUACAUCGGAAUCUACUUUUUCGUGGGGGAUAACGUAGGGAAACUUACGCUAAUACCGCAUACGACCUACGGGUGAAAGAAGGGGAUCUUCGGACCUUGCGCGAUUGAAUGAGCCGAUGUCGGAUUAGCUAGUUGGCGGGGUAAAGGCCCACCAAGGCGACGAUCCGUAGCUGGUCUGAGAGGAUGAUCAGCCACACUGGAACUGAGACACGGUCCAGACUCCUACGGGAGGCAGCAGUGGGGAAUAUUGGACAAUGGGCGCAAGCCUGAUCCAGCCAUACCGCGUGGGUGAAGAAGGCCUUCGGGUUGUAAAGCCCCUUUGUUGGGAAAGAAAAGCAGCAGGUUAAUACCCCGCUGUUCUGACGGUACCCAAAGAAUAAGCACCGGCUAACUUCGUG
rnacentral:rRNA from 1 species